rnacentral:rRNA from 1 species
UACGUAGGGGGCAAGCGUUGUCCGGAAUCAUUGGGCGUAAAGCGCGUGUAGGCGGUCCGGUAAGUCGGUUGUGAAAGUCCAGGGCUCAACCCGUGGGAUGCCGACCGAUACUGUCGGACUAGAGUUCGGAAGAGGCGAGUGGAAUUCCCGGUGUAGCGGUGAAAUGCGCAGACUAUCGGGAGGAACACCAAUGGCGAAGGCAGCUCGCUGGGACGUUACUGACGCUGAGACGGCGAAAGCGUGGGAGCAACAGG